rnacentral:rRNA from 1 species
GGGAGAUUCAGUGUUGCGAUUGACCGGGAUACGUCUCGUGAUACGCCUUGGUUGCGAGGGCAUGCACUUCUCUCUUAGUAGGACGUCGCGACCCGUUGGGUGUCGGUCUACGACGUAGCCUGUUUCGAAUUGCAGACCCCGCGUGUUCCGGCCGACUGCCCGACGGUAAAGCGUUCGGCCGAUCGCAAGCGUGGACGGUUAUUUCGGCUGUCGGAUCUGAUCUGGCACCGAAGCCGAUCGCGCUGUUGGCGGUCGUGUCCUCGAACAGACUCCACCGGUCAGCGAUGCUAUUGCUUUGGGUACUUUCAGGACCCGUCUUGAAACACGGACCAAGGAGUCUAGCAUGUGCGCAAGUCAUUGGGAAUAACUAAACCUAAAGGCGUAAUGAAAGUAAAGGUUCGCUUAUGCGGACUUAGGGAUGAUAGUCCGUAGACCCGCAAUCCCGGGGCGUCUCACUCUCAUUGCGAGAAGAGGCGCACCUAGAGCGUACACGCUGGGACCCGAAAGAUGGUGAACUAUGCCUGAUCAGGUCGAAGUCAGGGGAAACCCUGAUGGAGGACCGUAGCGAUUCUGACGUGCAAAUCGAUCGUAAAAAUUGGGUAUAGCGGCGAAAGACUAAUCGAACCAUCUAGUAGCUGGUUCCCUCCGAAGUUUCCCUCAGGAUAGCUGGCAUUCGAUGAGCGAGUCUCAUCCGGUAAAGCGAAUGAUUAGAGGCCUUGGGGCCGAAACGACCUCAACCUAUUCUCAAACUUUAAAUGGGUGAGAUCUCUGGCUUGCUUAAAUAGUGAAGCCAGAG